rnacentral:rRNA from 1 species
UACAGAGGUGGCAAGCGUUGUUCGGAAUUACUGGGCGUAAAGAGUGUGUAGGCGGUGCUCUAAGUUUGGUGUGAAAUCUCCCGGCUCAACCGGGAGGCUGCAUCGAAUACUGGAAUGCUAGAGGGUGGGAGAGGUAAGCGGAAUUCCUGGUGUAGCGGUGAAAUGCGUAGAUAUCAGGAGGAACACCUGUGGUGUAGACAGCUUACUGGACCACUUCUGACGCUGAGACACGAAAGCGUGGGUAGCAAACAGG